rnacentral:rRNA from 1 species
CGGACGGGUGCGUACACGUGAGGAACAUGACCUUCGGCGGGCGAUAGCCGGUCC